GGUCUUGUUACGCCGCUGAUGGAUAGACCGGGUCUGGCAGUCCUGAGGCCCCAGCUCGGUUCAUUUGUAGUACAUUCAUAGUUCAUCUGCUUUCACCAGUGUCUGCUGUCUGUUUCUGGCCCAGAUAGUGGGAAGACUCACAUGUGUUUAUCAUCAGUCUGUGUGGAGAUCUUCAUCCUCGCUCACAAUGGAUGUCUGAACUUUUGAUUUAUUAAAGUCAUUCUCGAGCCAGCUGGAGGGACGCCGAGGUGUCCUCGCUGAUGCGUGUGACCAGCAGGUGACAGUAAAGGACCACGCGUGGACGAGCUGUGGCCGAGUCACUCAGAGUUUACCAUCUGUUGCUCUGCACGAGUUCCCCGGAGAUGCCAGACUCUAGAGCCUGAGGGAAGGUCUCCAACAUUUGGGUCAAGAGAGAAGUGGGACCUGGAAAGAAAAUAACCUUCACUGCCUAUUAUUGAUUAUUAUUAUUGUAAUAGAUCACUCAGCAAUAUUUCAGAUGGAAAAAAAGAAAAAAAGCCGAAUCGACC
ensembl:lncRNA